ACACAGUGAAGUGAAGAUGUCCCUUUAUAUGUCCCCAUUGUCAUCUGCCUGGCACAUGGGUCAACUGACCAUGGAGAGACCCUUAAAACUGGAACCAUAUACAGCUUUCUACAUUAAAUUGGGAUAAUGAGAAGUCACUGGCAAACAGCUGACCUGAACAAGGGUCAAGGACUCUUUCCUGAAAUGCCCAAAAUGGAUUUUGUUAUCUCACUAUGCAUUGCUUAGAAUUCAGUCCAGCACCUAGACUUUGGCAAUCGACUGAAGCAACGGAUAUUAUAGAUAGUUGCAAACCUGAUUGAAGUAUUCAGAACCUGACCUUUUCAGGUUUUUCAAGUGAAAUUGCAGGAUGAUUUCAAUGAAAAUUCACAUUCAACUUCUCAACAGGAUGCCACAGGCAGAAGGAAGAUGCAAUAGAGAUUUAAGUUGUUUCCACUGAAGGCAUAGUGAAGACUACGGAAAUUCAAGUGACUCACCUCAAGAGGAACUGGGCAGUGGGAAGGCUAUGGAGAUCUCUACAAGGUCACAGUCAAUCUUUGCCUUUUAUCCUGACUGACUAGUCUUCAAAUAUUUUUCUUUUCACUGUCUACUUUCCCCAAGUUUUCUUUAUGGCAUGUUCCAAUCCUAAUUUCUGUACCUUCUUGACAUUGACUCACACAGAGGUGAGCAAAGAGUAACACGUCAUGUCCCCAGGCCUGAGGUGAGAAGGGUUGUGACUGAGAGGAUGCAGAGUCUACAUGGAGCAUACUAUUGAGAUACGGGGACAAAUAGCAGGAGUCAGACCUGGAUAGCAGAGAACUAACCUGUCAGGGGCUUCAUGCAAAGUACAAUUAUAGAGACACAAAAUUGAUUUUGUGCACAGUUGAGUUUGUGACUUAAAUUCAUACCAAACACAGAGAAAAUCCCAUAAAAUUGGAGAUUUAUGUCCACUAAACUCAUUCUUCCCAUACAGGUCCAUCUAUCAGGUGAAGCAGUAUUAAGUACUCACCUAUUCUCCUAUGAACCUUGAAGAGUUUGCAUAUAAUAUUAAACUUCAAUGAAUAUACUCUUUUACUUAUAAUUAGUAAAUUGAUUUGUCUGCUUAGUAAUGGUUCUCUGUUUUCUAUUUUAAAAAUCUAGAGCAUAGACACCAUUUUUGGCAGUUUCCCAAAAAUAUAUUGUCUUAUUCUCAGUCCUAAAGUACCCAAGGAUCAAUUAACUCUCAAUUAGCUCUCUAAUAGUCCUCUUGGAAUUCAGUGACUAUUUAUAGCACCUUAAUAUAACAAAACACUGUAUUACUAUGGUAGGAUGACAGGAUAUUAAGGGGUUAGUCUGCUUCUCAAAGAUUAAAGUCAAAGUAAUUUGUGUUUUCAUCUAAGGAUGAAAUAAAUAUGUAUUUUUAAAAAGUAAACAAUCAGAAGCUUCGUAUGUGAGAAGGGGAAGUGACUUGAGUGAGGGGUGGGACUAAGUAUAACGUGGAUAUCAGACAACAGAGCCAUGAUAAUUACUUAACAAUUUAAAAUGGUGACUUUACAUUUUGACAGGUUUUGAGAAUGGUACUGUAAUAACAGAACUGUUAAGAUCUCUGCAUCAGCAGGAUGCUGUGGAAAUAUGUCACUCUGGAGUCUGGCAUAUCAGGAAUUUGGUCAAUUAUUCAAUUGUGCUCUCCUCUAAUGACUAAGCAUCAGAAGUAUAAACAGGCCUUUAAGACAGGUCAUAUAUGUUUGAGUAUGCACAAUUCUUCUGUGUGGCAAAAAUAAUCAAAAUACGGUAUAGCACCUUUUAAUUUGUUCCCCCUUGAACAAUGUCAGAACAGUCUCCCAAGUGAACAUUUUCAAUCUUUAGCUUCUUUGGCUGAAUACAAUUACUGUAUCAGCACGAGGAGAGCGAGAGGAAGGAGUGGAAGGAAGGGAAAGCUAGAUUCAUUUGAAGUAUCUAAACUCUCAUGUAAAAGUCUGUUAGGUCUAGAAGGACUCCAGUGAUAGGCCAGUUAGUGAACUGUUUGCUGUGCCAGCAUGAGGACCUGUGCUUGGACCCCUAACACCCACAUAAAGUGCUGGGUUUAUACGCGCAGUUCUAAAAUCCUAGAGCUUGCAAGACCAGCAAGUCUUGUCAAAUCAAUGAGCUGCAGACUCAGUGAGAGAUUCUGCCUCACAAAACAUGGUGGGUGUGGGGAGUGACAGAAUAAGGUACCUGAUAUCGAUCUCUGCCCCCAAACAUACACACACCCUCACCCACUCACAAACACACAUUCACGUCCCUCUCUCUCCUACACACCCAUUUUUGAAUAUCAGCCAGCUAUCAUUGUCUUUUGACACCCAUCAUUUAAUCCUACUCUGGAAAAGUGCCCUAGUUGUCUUAAACAAGAAGAAAAAAAAUAAAACUCACCAGUACAGUAGCCUGUCCCAUUCUAAGUGACCUAAGCAUCAUUACCAGAACAAAUGUAGACUCACGUGUGACAAAGUAAAGCCAUUCUCAGUAUGAUUCAAACCUGUGGUUUUAGGGACUGAAUUACAAAUCAAAUAGGUGGGCUUCCUCUCCUGAGCCUGCUCUUGGGAUCACAAAAGCUGAUCUGCUGUAAAAUUACAUUAGUGCGUUUGGGUGGGGGAAAGGUUGUUGUUACAGUUCUUCUUUGUGAUGAAUCACUUGGGGGAUUUCUCUGUGAGAAAGCUUAAUUAUUUUCUCCAUUAAAAAAAUCCUCUUUGGCACUCUAGCUCCAGGAAGCAAACUUUACAAAGGAGGGGACGGCGUGGGAGAUCAUCUAAAAUGUCUUUCAGGUUCCUGUGAUGAAUAUGAAGCAGCAGAACAAAGAACACUCUCUCCUCCCACUAAAGAGUAAAGAUCCUACUUUAAUGCAUAGGGACAAUGAAUGCUGUCCCAUGUAGUAUCCUUUACCGAACUGCUUUAUCUUUUUUCCUCUCUCUCCCAGUGGGGCAGGAUCUUUCCUUCAUUCUUUAAGGAUAUCAGGUGGUAACAGGCAACACGGUAUUCAGGAAACCCUGGGUAGAAAUGUAGAUUUUCCCUUUCAUUGGACAGUGAACUAAAACAAGUGUUUCUGUCCCACAAGUCUUGUUCUCCAGGUAUAAAAUGAGAGAUAACUGCACUUGCCUCCCAAAUCACUUUUUUUGAGGAAUAAACAAGAUAGUACCAUGUAAGAGAUGUUGUAAAUUGUAAGUAUCAUCUAAUUAUUACAAGGUUGGAAAUGAGAAAUUGAUAGAGAAAUUAUUGUGGGGAUGGACCAAGAGAAAUGCUGUGCACUUGAGCUCUUUGUAGGUGGCCAUAGUAAGACAUCUUGUACAAAGUUUGACAUUGAAUAGCAUGGUUAAAAAUGGACCCUGAUCAGCUCAAAUAUAAUUUCAAGUACUGUAGAAUCUACUACUGAAAUAAAAAUACUCCCUUUUAAAGGAAAACUAAAAUUUUGGUAAAGACUAAAUUGUCUGGAGAGUGCAUACCCAAUUCUCUGAAUUCUUUAAAAAUUAUGUUUCCUUCUAUUUAUCUUCUUCCAGUCAAUCCCUGCUCCUCCAUCCAUCAUAUGUUGUCAGCAUAUCCUGUGCCACAUACUGUGUUUAGAAAGAAGAGUAACAGAAACUAUAUUGGGUUAUCACCACAUCACUUCAGUCUGUGUAGCUGUUGGCUGUCCUCUUUGUACCCUGACUUAUCUGCCCACAUUUUUCUCUAAUUCUGAAUCAACUCAACUUCUUUCUCCUCCAAUGAAGCAAUAAGUACUGACUUCAGUCUUCAGAGGUCACUCCUUAAAAUAGAAUAAAUAAACAGUUAUUUUUAUUUUAUGUGCAUGAGUGUUUUGCCUUCACACAUCAUGUGUAUGCCUGGUUCCUGAAGAAGUUAGAAGAUGUCAUUGGAUCCACUGGAAUUAGAGUUACUGAAGUUUAUAAGCUGCGUAUGAGAGUAUUGGGAAUGGAACCUGGGUUCUCUGGAAGAACAACCAUUGCUCAUAACUGCUGAGCCAUUUCUCCAGUCUUAGAAGUACCUUCUUACUUAGUGCUAUAGUAUCCCACAUUGUACUCAUAAUUUGCUAUUCUGAGUGACUGCUAGUGGUUUACUGUGCAUUUUAGUUUGAUCCAUCCAUCCAUCCAUCCAUCCAUCCAUCCAUGCAUGCAUCCAUGCAUCCAUGCAUCCAUCCAUCCAU